GCGGGGGUGCCCGAGCCAGGUCAAAGGGGCGGGACUGAGGCUCCCGUGGCGAAGGCCUGCGCGGGUUCAAAUCCCGCCCCCCGCACCA
rnacentral:tRNA from 1 species